UUUGUUAUGAAAAACAUAACAAAAUUCUGUUAUAUAAAAUCUUAACAGAAUUUUAUUACGAAAAAUCUUAACAGAUUUUUCUUCCAUGAUAUCCCUUCAUCCAAAUAUGAGCCACUCGUCAACAAUCCUAAAGUGCUACUAAUUCCACUACAUGAUAACUCUCUUAUUAUUAAUACUUCAAACAGAUGCUUACUAAAUCUUGUUUACCUCAUCUCUUCGGUGGAGAACAGAGAGGUCAGAGUACUGAAGCUAGUGCAGUUGACUUGAUAUCCAUUCUUCAAAGUGCUUGAUCAAUGGUGGACAGUACUGUACUUUAAGGCUUUGCUCUACCAUAAAUAGGACAAUCCUUGGCCUUCCAAAGCACCCACAAGCCGCCUCCUGUUAAGAGCAGCAGCAGCUACUACCAUGGGAAGAAUUAGACAAUCUUUCCUCGCAGUCAUCUUGUUGAUCCUUCUCUUUCACACAUCUUCAGGCGAUCUCGAGCUUGGUACAAAUGUAGCCGAGCCACCAAACACUGCAUAUUUGUUGUCAAAGAUGGAGACCAGAGUGGAAUUGGAGUUUACAGUGCUAGAUUAUGACUACGGCGGGGCAUAAUGGUAGACAUGAACACAUCAAAGGAAAGCCAGGAGGAACCAGCAGCAAGAAUCCAUAGAGGAAGUCUUUGCAAUGGAGCAAAUUAACAAGUCUAAGAAACUACGGAAAAUUGUGUAUCUUGCAAUUUCAUUAUCUGCCCAACCAUAUUCAUGCAGGAAGGACAACUAGUAGGUUCCAAAUUCAUAAUGUGAUUUUUCUUUUUCUACUGGUUUUAGGUGUCUAGCAUAAGGAGAUACCUUGUCUCGAA